UACGGAGGGUGCAAGCGUUAUCCGGAUUCACUGGGGUUAAAGGGUGCGUAGGUGGGCAGGUAAGUCAGUGGUGAAAUCUCCGGGCUUAACCCGGAAACUGCCAUUGAUACUAUCUGUCUUGAAUACCGUGGAGGUGAGCGGAAUAUGUCAUGUAGCGGUGAAAUGCUUAGAUAUGACAUAGAACACCAAUUGCGAAGGCAGCUCACUACACGAAUAUUGACACUGAGGCACGAAAGCGUUGGGAUCAAACAGG
rnacentral:rRNA from 1 species